rnacentral:lncRNA from 1 species
ACCUGUAUGCCAUACCAGUGUCUCCACACUCAUUGGUUAAGAGGACAACCAACCUAUAUGGCACACAACGACCUAUGCUUGAUAAACGUUGUCAUCCUUGGUAACAACGUAUCAUUUGAUCGCGAACAGAUUUAAGGACUAAACGACAAAUCCUCCUUUGUCGUGUCUAAAUAGUCCUAAGGACUUCACCACAACAUAGGAGUUCAUUAGAAG